CCUACGUGGUGCAGCAGUGGGGAAUAUUGCGCAAUGGGCGAAAGCCUGACGCAGCGACGCCGCGUGAGGGAUGAAGGUCUUCGGAUCGUAAACCUCUGUCAGCAGGGAAGAACGGUCACUGUGCUAAUCAGCAGUGAAUUGACGGUACCUGCAAAGGAAGCACCGGCUAAAUCCGUGCAACCAGCCGCGGUAAUACGGAGGGUGCGUGCGGUAAUCGGAAUUACUGGGGGUAAAGCGCUGGUAGGCCGUAUGUCAAGUCAAGGGGGAAAUCCCCGCGCUCAACGUGGGAACUGCCUUUGAAACUGGCAAACUGGAGUGGGUGAGAGGAUAGUGGAAUGCCAGGUGUAGGAGUGAAAUCCGUAGAUAUCUGGAGGAACAUCAGUGGCGAAGGCGACUAUCUGGCACAUAACUGACGCUGAGGAGCGAAAGCGUGGGUAGCGAACAGGAUUAGAUACCCCAGUAGUC
rnacentral:rRNA from 1 species